rnacentral:rRNA from 1 species
UGGGGAAUAUUGGACAAUGGGCGCAAGCCUGAUCCAGCCAUGCCGCGUGAGUGAUGAAGGCCCUAGGGUUGUAAAGCUCUUUCACCGGUAAAGAUAAUGACGGUAACCGGAGAAGAAGCCCCGGCUAACUUCGUGCCAGCAGCCGCGGUAAUACGAAGGGGGCUAGCGUUGUUCGGAUUUACUGGGCGUAAAGCGCACGUAGGCGGACUUUUAAGUCAGGGGUGAAAUCCCGGGGCUCAACCCCGGAACUGCCUUUGAUACUGGAAGUCUUGAGUAUGGUAGAGGUGAGUGGAAUUCCGAGUGUAGAGGUGAAAUUCGUAGAUAUUCGGAGGAACACCAGUGGCGAAGGCGGCUCACUGGACCAUUACUGACGCUGAGGUGCGAAAGCGUGGGGAGCAAACAGG